rnacentral:lncRNA from 1 species
UUCACAUAAAAUCACGAAAACUUUAGUUUGUUUGAUCCUUGGUAGAUUUUUCCGUCUUCCUCUGGAAUCAACACCCAAAAUCUAUACUGCAAUCACCGCAUUAUACUUUGGGCAUAAUCAAGAUAUUUGCAUGAAAAUUUUUUUACUGAACAACCAAAAGGAUUCUUGUUGCAGGAAAUGAAGACAAGGUGUAUUUGCUUAAGAAAGCCUUGUAUGGAUUAAAGCAGGCUCCAAGGGCCUGGUACAGCAAAAUUGAUGACUAUCUUGGUAGCCUUGGUUUUACCAGAAGCUUGAAUGAGCAAACUCUUUAUGUAAAGCAAGUGCAAGAAGAAAUGGUUAUUAUUUCGCUAUAUGUUAAUGAUCUUCUAGCAAUUGGCAGCAACUUUGUUUUGAUUGAAAAAGUGAAAGCAGAUUUGAAGAAAGCAUUUGAUAUGAUAGAUUUGGGGGAAAUGCAAUACUUUCUUGGCAUAAAUACAUCAAACACAACAAGAAAUCUUUGUUUGCCAAAGAAAGUAUGCUAAGGAAGUUUUAAGAAAGUUCACUAUGGAAAAUUGUAAACUAGUAAG